GGCGGUGUAGCUCAGUUGGUAGAGCAGCGGACUCAUAAGCCGCGGGUCUCCCGUUCAAUCCGGGACACCGCCA
rnacentral:tRNA from 1 species